UUUAUAUGUGGGACGCCUUCCACAGCAUGGCGUGCCAAGUGGUGCCAUGUCCGAACCGGUGAACCCCGGGCCGCCGAGAAGCAGAACGUGCCAACUUAACUGCUGCGCCACUGGGCCGGCCCCCUUUUGUAGACUAUUUUUAAGCUUCGAUUUAGAAAAGCAGUUUCACCAGCUCACCUUGACAGAACUAAGGGAAGCUCAGAAGAGAUUUCUAAGCUAGAAUGCCAACUUAGUAACUUAGAGGAAAUCAGAUCGAAUAAGAGCCACCUCAUUUCCCACUGCCAAACAUAUCUGCACCAGUGCCCAUAUUCCUCUCGUUGCAAAAGACGAACUGGCCCUGUUCGUAUUUAAAACUAGUCCCAACUGCAGUUGAUUGCUCUCUUGACUACUCAAGGAUUUUGCUCCUAUAGUUACCCCUUCUUUCAUUUGCAUCGUUUUUUCCUCUCUACCCAUAGUCUCCAGCCAAGGAACAUACAAAUCUCGACACCCCUUCCCCCGCUAAGCUACCAUCCCAUUUUUCUGCUCCCUUUCACCGCAAAACUAAAAUUACUCAUGUGCGCUGCCCCACUUAAAAAUCUCCUGUCCUCUCUUUAACUCACAUCAAUGAGGCAUUUAUCCGCUACACCCCACUCAAACAGCACCCUUGUAAAAGACAUCCAUUUUGCAAAAUCCACUGUACUCUACAUCAGCACGUAAAAGACAUCCAUUUUGCAAAAUCCACUGUACUCUACAUCAGCACGUGUGGCCGAUAAUCAUUUGUUCUUUAAACAUUUUCUUGUCUUCAAAUAUGAUGGUGUCUCCUGGUUUUCUAUCUCAGUGGCCAUUCCUGGCAGCUUUGUUGCUGUCCCCUCUGAUGACCCCUAAAAGUUGAAGUGUCCCCCACGCCUGAAAUCUAGUCUCUUCCUAGGUGUCUGAAGGCUUUCAAUUAAAUGUCAUUUAUAUGAUGAUGACUUCCCAAGUUUAUAAAUCAAACUCUGAUCUCCCAAGCUUUUGGGAGAGAGCUGCUUACUGACACCUCUUCUUAUGUGUCAAAUAAACACCUUGUACUUAAUAUUUCCAAAUCAGAAUUAUUUUCAAAGGCAUCCCUACUCAUCCAAGUUUCAGACCAAAAACCUCAGAGUCAUCCUUGAUUCCCUUUGUUCUUCAAACCCGUGUCCAAAGUAUCAGCAAGUCUCGAAGGAUACACCUGAACCAAAUACAUCCUGAACCAAACCACUUCUCACGUUCACUGCUGCUACUACCAAGCUGCCGUCACCUGCCAUAGUAUCACUCAGAUGACAUUCUCAGUUUUGAGCCUUCCACGACCUUCAGUGAGGCUCAGAUAUCUGACACACGAAACUCCUCACUCGUGCUGUGCAGGUCCUACCUGAACUGCACCUACCCUUGUUCCGUAUCCCACUUGUUCUCUGGUCUCCUAGUCUGGGCGCACUGGCCAUUCCUCUAACAAGGCUGGAUGGAUUGCUUAGCACACGAUGCUUUUCUCCUGGACCUUUGCGUGGCUGGCUCAGUAAAUGAAAUUCUUAUUCCCUUUUUGUUUGAUUCCCCCAGCAGAAUGUUCACAAGGACAAGGAUUUGCCUGUUUUGAUUAAAGCUAUAUCUUUAGCACCUAGUUUACUGUCUAAUACUUUGUAGGUACUCUAUAAAUAUUUUUUGAAUGGGUGAAUUAAUAAAUUUAGAAUUUACCUGGGGCACGUUUCCUGGUACACAUGUAACACGUUUCAUAUUUUAAAGUUUUCUUGAAGAGCAAAGAAUGAGAGCAGACAGUGUUUAAGGACUAGUUCUAUCAUGUAUACUUGAUAACUUACCCAGGUUUACUGAUUCUCAUAAACAAUCCCUGGAUUGUACUGGAAGGAUCACUGAAAAAUUCUUUCAGGCCUCCUUUUUUUUAAUUUUUUAUUUUUUUAAGAUACCCUGGGCUAAUUUAAUCAUUGCUUGUGUUGUAUUAAUUUUGUUAUAAUCUCUUUCAUGAGCCCUGAUAGGUACUAGUGUUUCAAGAGCAAUUUAUUUACAGGCCAUUUUUUUAACCUUGCCCCACUAAACUGGCAGUCCUCAGUUUUAGUGACCUGUACUUCAUUUCACCAAAUACAUUAUUUUGUUUUGCUAAUGAUGGACCAAUUUAAUUGAUAAGAUAGUGGUUCUUUUCUGUCUUGAAUUCUUUAAUUCUUAAUGGAUUAAACCACCCUAGGCCCCUUAAAUGACAACAGUUAUCUCCUAUCAAAGAUGAACAAUCAGAUACAAAAGAGAUUAAAAAGCCCCAUUCGAGAUCCCAGUGUUCUCACAAAACAGUCUGGAAUUUUGCGUUUGUACUUAACGGUGCUCCUCGAAAUAUGUAAGUUUCAAGCGAGGGUAUGUUUUGUUAUACUAAGCAUAUUCCACAUACGACAUGAGACAUUAAAAGGCACCAAUGGUGCAUAAAUUGACAAAAUUUGUUUUGAUAUUAAAUAUGCAAAUACCUUAUCCAACACUUGUUCAUAUUAACCAUUUGAAGAUCUGCUAUCUUGGCCAAAUUUAGAUGGAAAAGUCCCCAGAGAAGCAAGAACUUUGAAGAAGUGAGAAAAAUUUCUAAACUCAGCAGAGUAUAUCCUAAAAACUAUAGGAGCAAUCUGGCACACAGUGGGUCUUCAGUAAACACUCAUGAUUGAUCCAAUGUUAAUCUAGCUUACUACUGAAAAUAUUUUUUUCUCUUUUCUGAACAUCUGUUACGUUCUCGGCACUAAAGAUAAAAACUGGGCUCCCUGCUCCUAAGGAGCCCGAGGAAGACAAGACAACGUAUGAGCUCCCGGCAUAAGAGAUGCUGUGAUUCGGCUGUGCCCGAGCUGCGCGGGGACGGGGACGGGGACGGACGCCGCUCGGUCUGCCGCGGGGUCGGGAGGCCGGGCCCGGAAGCUAGUGCAGCUUCGGGACGCCGCAGAGGCAAGGGCGAGCCGGCAGACAGGCGGACAGCGAGGGCUAGACAUUCCUGACUGUCCUUGUCUGCUGUGGUGUUCUCCUGUCUUCCUAGCAGAGCAAGCUCUGAAACUCUCUGGAGUGUGGUCAGACACUACCAUCCACCUGGCUGUUGCUUCUUUGAGGACGUCUGCCCUGGAGCUUUUCUCUUCUUGUCCAGUCUGUAAUGGUUGCUUUCCAAGACUGAUUCCCAACCAUCAGCCUGGGCGUCUCAUCGCCUCAUGCCUGUGCUGGAUCACCUGCUUCCUCAGUUUCUCGUCCUCCUCUUUCUUGGUUUAUUCCCUCAUCUUGGAGGAGUGUAUCUUCCAGUGACUUCCUGGAAAAAAGUUGCAUAGAAGAAAUGUCACCAGAGGCUCACAGGAACAUCGCCCUGUGUUUCCCCUGGGAAAUGGCUAACUCAGUGUUGGCAGCAACUGUAUAGAACUCAGCCAUGAUGAAGCAGUUGAUUCUCGAAGAGGUCAAGUAACUGCCCAAGUCACACAGUUAGCAACAGAUGACUGCUUCUUCAGUGAAUGGCUGAUCAACUCAGUGCGAUGCUUUGUUUGGGGGUGCAGCACAGGAUAGGUGGAAGCUCUCCCCGACCUGCCCAGUGAGAAGAGAUAGGGUGAGCUUCUCUUGUCCUCGAAUCCUCAUUUUGCAUGGGGACCUGCGGCCCUGGGCAGCUCCUUGCCCUGCCUGGGAGUGUGCUGCCUUGUCUUCUGCACCAGGCAGCCAGCUCUCUAAGUUUCUGUGCUCUUUGCCAUGAAAGAAAGUCUCUGCACGCUCUCCGUGCCUGUGAACCUUUCGCCAUCCCCAUCCCCCGCUCCCUCUUCCUGCCAUGAUGACGCAGGCUGGUGUCCGAGUGAUGAGGGAUUUGAUUUACUGGACGUGGUAGAAAGAGGCGCUGGAACUUGAGAAAUCACUUCACCUCUCUCAUGCCUAAGUUUCCCGAUCUGCAGAAAUGGAGAUAACAGCAAACGAAGGCAAGAAAUUCAAGACCGAGAGAGGGCAAGUGAACAAGAAUUACAUUCUGGAUGGAAGAAAGCCCUAAAUAAUAUAAAUCUUGGAGGAGCCAGCCAUCCUAGACCAGAUUCCCAUAAAAAUCAAACCAGGAAGAAAUAAAGAAAAGAAGUUAAAGUUCAUUGCUGAAAAACCAUGUUUUUCUUUUAGCCCCUGGGGGAGGGGGUUAUUAUGUUAGUGUAGGAAUGGGAAUGGUCAAUUUUUCCCAGUAAGAACCUUUUGAUGUGUUACCACGACUCACGGGCUAUGACUCAUGUAUUACAACUCUCACUAGUAUCUGAUAAUAGUUUAUAUUCCUUAACAAGGAGAUAGAUGAAGCAGAGGGAUUACAUAAUUAUUUUCUUUUCAGUUUACACCUUGGAUUGGAUUGGAUAUGACAUGAUAAUUUCAGGAAGAGAAAUUUUUUCUCCCCCCUUUAAAGAAAAAAAAUCUCAUCACUUUCUUCAGUAAUUACAUUUUCAAAAUGCUUGUUAAAAUCAACCUCAGACCUGUUAUUGUCACACUUUGUAAAUUACUAUGUCAAAAAUUAAUUUUUCUAAGGCUAGGAAGAAGGUUAAAUUGAUACGAACCCCCCACCAAGAUAUCUUCACUGUCGUUAGUUAUUCUAACAUACAUUUAUUAUCUAUUUUUGAAUUAUAUUUGUUAUUUUGAAUUAUGUUUAUCAAGAUUUAAAAAUCUAUCAGUUCAUCAAAAUGCAAUUAACUACACUACUUUCCUACCAACCACUUGUGUCAUCAACAGGAUCAAUCAAAUGUAAUAAAAACAUCAAGGCAGCAAUGCUAAUGCUAUUUUAAAUAAAUAUCAUUUAUUCCAUUUUAUUGAAGACUAAGCAUACCUAAUCACAAAUACUCUAAUCUGGGUCCAUUCAAGACCUACUGAACUUGGAAGACAGUUUCAACUUUGUCUAGAUUCUUUUUAAAUGUGUCCUGUUGAGUGUAUUCCUGAAGAAUAAAGGAGUUCAUGCACUAUUUUAGUUCAACUACCUUGAUGCCAUUAGGCCAGGCCUACCCUGACUUUGCAGGAUAUUGAAAUGAUGAUGAAGAUGAUGAUGAACAUAUAUUAUUGAUCUGAGUAAUGACAGUGCUUAGGCACUUUGCAUAUCUGCAUUUUAAUCCAUCCCACAACACUGCAAGUUUGAGGAAACAGCCCUAAAGAGGCGAAAUAAUGUGCCAAAGGUCACUCUGCUAGGGUUGAUGAGCUGGAGUCCCAAACCAGGUCAACCCCUUUCCAGCAUUGACAUGAUGCCUAGAUAAAUAUUCUGCCAAAUGAAAGGAUAAACUUAAUUUGAAGAAUUUUAACAAGGCACUUGAUUCAGGCCAAAAUUAUAAUUUGGAGGCCAAGUCAUUUAGAUUGGUACUCUGCGUUGGUUAACCUAACCAGUCAAUUUCUGUUUCACUGAGUGCCUGUGGAUUUGAGUCUCAAAGAAUAUGCACUUGGAAGAGUUAAGAGGAAAAAAGUUUGAGGCAUCUGUCUUCAAGAAAUUAUCCAAGGCUCACUUGGUGCUGUGGCUCUUCCCUGGAGCCAGCUAUGAAUCAGGACUUAAAUUAAUUUCUUUCUGCCCAGAAGUCUCAAGGCAGCGAUGUUCAGAAGGAGACUCCUGGGCACUAGGACAGCAACAAAAAUGGAAGAAACCUCGCCAGCAAGGUUCUCAAGUGAUGUCACCAAGUUUGUCAGCUUCGCCCAGAUUUCCCAGCUGUGGCCCCCACUGUGAUUGGACUGGGGUCCUGUGCUUCUGGCAGUCAUGUGAGUGUCCCGUGGCCAGAGCCUGACGUUGUCCUUCCAGGCAGGGACUCCAUGUAAGGCAAAAGAGACGCCUCUCAACCCAGCUGGGCUUUCAUUGAAGAGAAUCAAAACAAGAGGCUUAAGAUUCUGUUCCCAGGCCAGGAAUUAUGAGAGGCUGAAAGAUACUAUCCAAGAAAACCCUCCGGAGGACUGCGUAUCCUGUUUUCAAUGUAGCUGAGAUGGCAGAAUUCACAUCUCCCCAAAUGAGGACAGUUACAAACGAUGGAAUGAGUAAGUGCAAAAUUCCACCUACACCCUGAAUACACAGGGCUGUACCUGGCACGGCCCCCCGCAAUCCGAGCUAACAGUCAGCGGUGAGCUCCCUGAAUGGUUUGCCCAGCCUUGAGGUGAACUAAGAAGCAGAUCCAACGCACAGAAGCAAAUUCCAAGUGAGUUUUCUUAAAUAAAGACUUGUGCCUGUCACGCUACAGACAGAGGCCCACCUGGCCUUCGCUUUAAUACUUCCUCAAAUGGACAGUAGUGGGGUGGAGGAGGCAGGAAGAUACAUCUGGGGCCCGUGUGCCACCACAAGCGUUUCCAUGAAAAAUGUCCACACUGGUCAGUCAGUCCAUCAUUCGUUGGAAUCUGAUCGACAUGCCAGCCGAGGCCUCCGUGUCCAGCUGGCUCCUGCAUCUAUAGAACGUCUCAAAACCUCACAUUACCCUGGCUAAAAAACUUGGCCCCUUCCUUGGUUUCCAUCAGAAAUCCAUCUGUACCCACUAUUUUGUGAAUUUUAGUAUAAUUUUACUGAAGGUUUUGGAGGAUGGGUGGCUGAUUGUGACACAGUGUGCAGUGGCCCUGUCUCAGUCCCCAUCCCUUUUUGCUUUUCCUCCUUCUCAGGAGUUCCAUAAAUUAUGGAUAGUAAUUUAGCGAACAUCUGUUGCCUGAGAAAGCCCUGGGAGGCCUUGCUCUGAUCCUCAAGAGGCUGGUCAGAGUACUUCUUCCAAGCACGUACAGUGCUUCCCCAAAGAGAUCUAAUGAAAUAAAAGUUUCCCCAUCUCAUUAUAACUUGACCAAUGACAUGAAUUUUCCAUAUCUCAGCAUUAGUCUAGGCACAGGGAGAAAUAUAGGGGGACGUAAGAUAUGAUUCCCUGUCCGCAAUGCAUUAGAGUCAGUAGGAGAGAGAACGUACAGGAAAUAGCGGGGAAACACUUCAGGACCAAACUGUGUGGUAAUGUCCACGCAGUCAGGGUUGAGAGCGGGGCUAGGUCAGUGUGACUCAGCCAGGGAAAAGGACACCAAGGGAGUCUUGUAGGAUGGGCAGGAUUCGGUUUGGCUGAGUGUAGGGAGGAGAGCUGUUCAGAGUAUGGACAUAGCAUCAACAAAGUAAUGAGUAUGGCAAGAAGGAGUGUGUGCGUGUUUGUGUGUGUGUGUGUGUGUGUGUGUGUGUACCGGGAGGACCUGGGCACUUGCUGAGAACAGAUGAGAAAUAAACUUGGCUGACAGGAUGGAGUGAAAUUAUGAUGGGCCCCAAAAGCCAGAAAGAGAUGUGCACCUUGGGACUAGCGAUACUGGAGAGGCCCAGCAGAUUCCUCUGGGCAGAAAGGGAUCCAUGGGUAAACCACAUGAAGAAGCAAGCCUAGGCUGACAGCAGUGAACAGGCUAUGCUGGGUGGGAGAUGGGCUGUCACUCAGGCCGAGUUAAAUGUUUGGAUUGGGAGGGGUGAGGGGAAGGGAGAUGAAAAGGCAAUCUGAGCAUAUAGGAAGCAUUGCUCCUGGCUGUAGGAGUAAAGGAAAGGGGCCUGACCUGAGGGUGGCAGCCCUCUCUGAGUGCUCUGCUGAGAAUCAGAGAGAGGCGGCCCUGGCUGCGAGAGGGGGGUGCUUUUCCGUCCAGACGUCUGUCUUUCCCUCCGCAGCCCUCCCCUCCUCUCCCGUUAUCAUUCUUUCAUCUUCCGUGCUCAUUUUUGCCGUGACACCUCUACACUCCACCACCAGUAUGUCUUCCUGAGGCUCUGCUUAGACAGGGCUCUUAAUGACCAGCAAAUAAAUAAUAAAUGAGUCGAUCCUGUGUCCUGCUGGGAGGGAGAUCCUCCGAAGUUACUGAGAACCUCCAAGUGUUUGCUGUCAGGAAGAGGUCAACCUGGGGCGAUGGGUAGAUUCCAGGAGGUCCACGAACUUAGAAGUUUACUCACCUCCCACCGAAACCCAGCACUUCCUCCCAUUUAAAUGCAGGCCACAAACCACAGCAGCAUUAGUAGUCCUGUGACGUUGUCACCCAUGGAACUCACAGACAUUUUUAUAUCAUGUUACAGCUGUUCUGGAGCUCAUGAAAUAUCACUUGCACAACUUUGAUAGUUAUAUUAGACCUGCUGUUCGAUCUUGCUGUUAAAUGUGUUAAUAAUGAGGUAAAUAGAUUCUUUAUUUUAAAAAUAUUUGAUUUAAUUUUUUUCUUUUAUAAUCCUAUAUAUUUUACUUUUAAUGCAUACGGAAACAUUAUUCUUAUAAGAGGUCCAUAACCUUCACUGGACUGCCAAACAGUUCCAUGGCACAAGGAAAGGUUAAGAAAGUCGGCCACGUUCUCAUCAGUCGGGGUCUAAGCUGUGUACCUCUUCUGGACUCACUGCAGUCACCGUAAGUAUGACUCACCUAUCAACGAGCUGCCAAAACCGGGGACUCAACAGAACGUGGUUGCCUGGAAACUAAAGCCCCGUUAGAUUGUUACCUUGUUUUUAAGGAAAGAAAGCUUCAGAUGCCUAUGGAAGGCGCCUACGGAAGCUUCCUCGCUCCCACAUAUCUCAAAGACCACCCCCGAGGAUGUCCAGCCCCUACCAGAGAUCAGAGGGCACUCUGCCCUCCUCUGCACUCAUGACUUGCAUCCCGUUCACUUCAUGGUCUGCUGCAGGAGCGGGUAGGGGACCAACAGACUUUGAAAUAAUCAUAAUAAUCCUCCUUGACCUCAAAUAUUUAUUAAGUACUUCCUGCAUAAAGGACCACGUGCUAGAUGCUAUUAUAUUACAAGGAACCUCAGUUUCCUCGUGCAACCAUAAUGAUAUCUCACAUUUUAUUGCUCUUAACAAAGUACUGUCUUACUUCACAUUUAAUUCUCACACUUUUGAGGAUGAUAUUAAAAUAUUCCCCAUCUUAUAUAUGAAGAAACUGAGGCUCAGAGAAGCAAGGAAGUGUGCCCGGCCCGUGGCAGAGCCAGGCCUUGACAGUGAACCCUUGGCUCCCGGCAGCCUGCACUGUGGUCUGGGGGCUUGUGCUGUGCAUGGUGCGGGGACCGCCCCUCUGAACCACAGCUGGGGACCACUUUCUCUGAUGUCCCUUGUGACCAGUGACUGGGGAUGGGUGUGGUUUCUGGUUUCUGGCCUCAUCAGGGCCCUGGCUUCCCUAAUCAGAACCAUGAGAGUGGCCCAGGGGUUAGAAAUGAUGGUGACAAUCGCCAUCUGGUGUUGUGGAAAAAUUCACGGGGUGUUCUCCCCUGUGUUCCCGGGCAUGGCUCUCUUCAUAACCUCUGGGGGAGUAAAUCCUCAGUAUGAGAGCCCACACUGUGGUGAAUAUCCCGUAUGACGCCCCACUUCCUUUUGCUCCUCAGUUCACCUCCUAACUGCAGUUUUCAUUCCCUGAAUCUUGAUUCCUAAAUGAUUAGAUUCUGUAGAUGGAUUAUCUCCAUCAAUUCUGUGUUGAUGUUGCUGAAGUGGAAGACGGUGAAUUCAGCCCGGGUCACGUUGAGUUUAAGGAGGCUCCCCGAGGAUCCAUCCACCAGGAGACGGGUCCUGGCACGCUGCACGGAGAUGUGAACACAGUGCAUUCGUCGUAGAAAUCUAAGCUACCAACCCGAUACUUCGUUGUGAACAUCGUUCUGGCUGCAGUUUUUAAAUUUGGAUGUCAAGGAAAACGAAAUCCUAUUUUUGCAGACUUCUCAACAACUUCAUACCUGAAGAAGAGUACGUGUUAAUGAUUUCAUUUAGAGAUCCUGAGGAAUGUUCCCAUUACGAAGUGUUAAGUAUUCUACCAUGAAGUGAAAAUUUAAAAAUCUAUUUGUAUUACCUUCCAAAAAUAAAACAGUGCGACCUGCGAAAUUGUAGUGUUUCUGCCUCAGAGAUACCAGAGAUGCAAUCACCAGCCGUCUUUAACCAGACCGGAGCCCCAGAACAAGAGCAGCACCCACACAGAUGAGCUGAGAGAGGCCAAGUGAGCAGCGCAAGCCAACACCCACCUCGCCCUUUGAAUGUUCGUUCCCCACCUGAAGUCAAAGGACCCUGCUUCCCCAUGUGCCGGGACAGCCACAACUUUGGAAAUCACUCCACCUGGGCUCCUGUUUGCUGCGAAUAAGCUGGACAUUGUGUGACAACUACUUGUGGUGGAGAACCUGAUUUUAACUCGCCAGGGGGGAACCCACUUUGGUUUGGUAACAAUAACGAGACAACCUCUUCCAAAAUCCCAUCAAUUCUCCACACCUCCACAGGCGGGAAAGCCUUGAAAAUAUAUCUGGCCCUAACAUUUUAGUGGCCAUUAUCUAAACCAUUCUAAUGUCUGCUUCUUUUCAGAAAUAACAUUAACAACCCACCCAAAUGUUUUCUUUUGAGGCUGUGUUGGCUAUCGAGUGUUAAAUAGGGAAUUUGUUGACUGAAACAAAUGUUUUGGGUCUCCUUAAAACCGUUGCCAAAACAAAUGCAGCCCUUGGCCAACUCUCCUCCAACGAAGCUGUGAUUGGAACGGAGCCGCGACUGGAACGGAGCUGCUUAUCCACGAUCCAGGGCGCAGGCCCAGUUUAGCUGAAUCACCUGGGUUUUCUGCCGGGUGGCUUCAGGGGUUUCUGACCCUCCACUGGACACUGGCAGUGAGACUUUGGUGCCAAGGGCCAGGGGAAGGCACCUAGGGAGCUGUGUGGCUUGUCAUUACUGCCCAGUUUGCUGCUUCAUAACCACGGUUCUCUCUGAGAGCCUCACAGCUGUCCUUGGAAGAGGGCAAACUUGGUUGUCCCCAUCUUAAUAGUUCUUUCACAUUUUUUUUCCAGAUGUGGAAACUGAGACACUAAGAGGACACUAAGAGAAAGUAACAUGACUUUGCGUCAUCAUUUGAUUUUGUGAUUUAGAAACUCCAAGUAGAGUGAGAGGUCAUUCCCUGGGUCUCUAGAGGCUGGCUUGGCCUCCACGGCCUGUGGCCCUUCUGCGGUAAAAUGUAGGGGCACAGCCCUCUUCUCUGAGAUCUUACCUCUUUGGAUUUCCUGUGUGCUGGAGACUAUGCCAAAUUGGGGGAAAUCUACGUCUAUUACUAGGGCAAAUCUCACUUGUUCCUGAGAUGGCUCAGAGAGUUGAGGGCUUGACUGGCGCUGCUCCACCUGCACCUGGCUGCACGGUCAGCAGGCACCUGUGUUGCCCGCAGCCACAAAGGGCAAGGAAUGACAGGCCCAGAGUUCCCUAGGAUGGAGCGGCUGUGGAUGGUGGCAUGCAUCUGGAAACUGCACUCUAAACCAGGCCUAGGCUCUGUCUGAGGCUGCCCAGAACUUUCCUGGUGGCCUGAGAGCAGCUGCAGAUGAACAGGCCCGGCAGGAGUUGCACAGAGAACAUCCCUACAGUGAAUCUUUGCCCAGAGGAGCCUGAGCACAGGAUGCCAGGGCAGCGCCUUGUGGGGUCUUGAGAUGGGGGAACCGCGAGCAAGAGCGGGACGCGAGGCAAAAUAAAAGGCGUAGCAGAGCCCGCCGCCAGGGACGUCAUUCGCUGGGCGGCCAUCAUGAAGUAUCAGACUGCCGGGCUGAAACGCGUGUUUCCUCCGUCUGGAGGCUCGGAGUGCGAGACCCAGGCGGCGCAGGUUUGGUUUCUCCAAGGCCCAUCUCCUGGGUUGCAGAUGGCCGCCUGCUCCGCGUGUCCUCACGUGGUCUUCCUUCUGUGUCUGUCUGUCCCCAUCUUCUUAUAAGGACACCGCGGAUUAGGGCCCACCCUCAUGACCUCAUUUUAACCUACUUACCUCUCUGGGCCCUACCUUCAGAUAGAGUCACACUCUGAGGUUCUAGGGGUUAGGACUCAACAUGCGAGUCUGGCGGGGACACGGCUCACCCCAGAACCACCAGCGAGAGUCAGGAAGCCUGUGAGUUGGUGCGCGCGGGGGACCCGCGGCCGCUGCCCGGAACCCGCACCUGCCCAGGCAGGCCCGGCGGCCGGCUGGAGACCCCCGCGGGCCAGCGUGAACCUCCGGAGCGCCGGGCGCGGGCUCGUGGGGAGCCGCGGGGCCGCCUCCUCUCUUCGCGGGGCUGCUGCACACGGUCUCUCAGCGCCUCGGGCCCGUCCCCGCACCUGCGAGCCUGCGGGGGCGCCCUGGAGAGCGGCGGGGGCGGCCCUCCCCGUGGGAGCGGGGGCGGGGGCGGCCCCCCCGGGGGACGGGGGCACAGGCGG